AAAAAGAAAACGGCGUAGCAGCUAAGAAAAGGACCUACACAAAAACAAAAAGACGGCAGUCAUUUCUUGAAAGAAAAAGAUUCAAUAUCCAUUUUUUCCUAAUUCCUAAAAGUGACGAGAAACAGAAGGAAAAGGGAACAAAAAAGAGCAUGGAAACGAGAUAGAAAAGAAGCAAAAAACAGAAAGAAUAGAUCUGGGGGAGGCAUAAGAAAAUGAAAAAAGCUUCAUAGCAAAAGCUGAGAAUCGGCCAUUAAAAUAUCUCACUCAAGCUCCAUAGCUCCCCUAUCCAUAAACCUCAUCUUUUCUCCCUUUUCUCCACCAAAGUUUAGCAUCUUUCUGCUCUGAAGUACUGUGAAAUAUCAGUCCGGAAAACACCCCAAACCACCUCCGAAACUGCUGGAGCUUGAUCGAUUUUCUUGAGUCAGGUUCGAGUUCGGUGCGACAAGUGGGUCUCGCUAGAGCUUUGAUUGAUCGCCUGAGGUUUCCGCAAUUCGAAAGGCUCCGUCUGAAAGCUGUCCAACAAUUGAGUUGCUGUAAUUUAAAGUUCACAGUCGUCAAUAAAGGUCCCAUUCUUUCAUGCUCUAUCUCUUUACUUUGCUCUUAUCUAAUGCUGGAAUUAAGUUGGAACACUGUUUCAUAUUUAGUGAUAAUGUAUUGAUUAUAUAUAUAUAUAUAUUUUACGGGGCUCAUAAUUUGUUUUCGCAUCUUUGGUGUUUCUUUAACGCCUAAAGCUAUGAACCUUUCUGUUUUGACAAUCCAACUUAGGUUGUAUGUAUAUUAUAUUUAUAAGAAAUGCAUUACUCCACUUGGAUGAAUAAUUGUGUGCUUAAGAUAGAUGUUGUUUAAUGCCGAGAUUGUCAUCAUGCAUGAAAGAUUAAUGUUGUUUGCUAAUGAUGCGGGAAUCAUAUUUGAGCAAUGUACAAAAUGAAGAUGUGAAUGGGAUUUGAUGCUGGUUCUUUUCCAAUUAAAUUUUAUAGAUUUGGUGCUCGGUUAAGGUGAACCAUGUCGGGCCCAAUUGAUAAGAGCUAUAGGUAUCCCAAUCCUAGUAGGCGCAUUUAACCGGCCCAUUUACACCCUUCUCCACGAAUAAUUCCAUAUGUCAUGACCCCACAACAAUCUCAAAGUAGUUCAAAGAAAAUAACUCAUGAACAUCGUAGCUUGUUUUAGGCGCGAUUAAUAAAUCAUCGUGACUAUGGGUACGGUUCCUGUGACAUAGUUAUGAUACCUAAUUCCCAAAAUCGGGUGUGCAUUUCAUGUAACCCGAUCAUAACAACUUCAAAUAUUAAUAAUAUAAAUAUAUCGCAAAUCGCGGGUGCAUUUCAUGUAGCGUGAUUUGCGGUGUGUCCCAAAACAAUAAGUGUACGACAAUCAUAAUUUGUUCAAGAAAUAAUUCCAUAAAUCCUAACGGCGGUUUAAAAUAAUUAAAAGCGGUUAUAAAGUUAAAAAAAAUGCACAAUAAGUUUAAAAUGUGUAUUAAAUCAGAUAAUAGGCCAAUUGAUAAUAGUUAAAGCGACCGUGCUAGAACCACAGAACCCGGGAAUGCCUAACACCUUCUCCCGAGUUAACAAAAUUCCUUACUUAGAAUUUUUGGUUCGCAGACUUUUAAAUAAAAUGGAUUUCCUUGAUUUGGAAUUUUAAAAUAAAUCGGUGACUUGGGACGAAAAAUAAAUUAUUCCAAGUGGCGACUCUGAAAAAUAAAUAAAUAAUCUUAUUUCGAAUAAUGCCACUUUAAUUGGAAAAACUCCCUAUAUACCUUCGGGUGUAAAAAGGAGGUGCGACACCCAUGAUUAGCUAAACAACCACCCUUGAUUUGAUUUGUUCCUAGAUUUUGGCCUUUGUCCUCGACCAGUCACGAAUAUCUCGCAUUUCCAUUAUUAUACUGUCUUCGGUCUUGCUCGAUGUCUAUCCCGUUCGAUCUCGAUCAUUACUGGUCUCAAUCUCGACAAGUACCUACCUUAUAUUCGCAUCCGGUCUGAUAAAAUCGGAUAGGCCCGAUUUUAACCGUAUACAGAUAGUCCCCUCGUUUCUUGGAGUGUAAUGACAAGAAACUAAGUGAGUCUUUGAAUUUACCCUCGGUUAAGCAUCGUGAUGUAAGAGGUAGAGGUGAUCGAAUCGUCCCAUCGUUUCAGUUACCGGUCGGCCACUACCAGUAUUGAACUGUCGUCUUCAACCUUUAAAUGCAUCUUUCUUCAUCUUUUAAACUUUACUUUCAAUCUUUUCUGCUCUAAUCUUCAAAGCUCUCUGCGUUCUUCAAGCUUCAUUGCUAACCUCCUUUAAAAACACCAAAUACCCUAAUCCCCGUUCUUCCUUGUUCACAAAAAAUGGCCAAAACAUAUAAAACUGUUCCGCAAAAGAAAAGCUUCCUCGUCCCAACCGGCCGGCGAACAACCAAUGACAGAUCCACGUGCUGAAGAAAUAGUUUCCGGGGGUGUGUCCUUGAUGAUGACUUCAAGGUCAAAAAGACCCCUUCGGUUCCAGGCUGAUGCGAGCCCAUGUUGAGGUACAUAUGCACGAUUACCGGUGACCAACUCGACCAAGUCAAAAAUUACUACAACUGGGUCGACAAGCACGUGGUAGUACCCUCGCCUGAGGAGUCAAUCACUACUUACGUGGAAGAGUUUCUAAGUGUUUCUACUUACCUUUUUACAUUGGGUCCCUUGGACUCGGUCAUCGUGGACUUCUGCAAGAAAUAUAAAGUCACCCUUGGCCAAAUACACCCCUCCUUCUGGAGGAUAGUGAUAUUGCUCCCUUUUUUGUUAACCAAGUAGACGAGAUUCCUUUCACCCUCGACCAUCUCAUACGAUUAUAUAGCCCCCGACUUUAUCGAGGGGGGCUAAAUAAACUUCAACGUCGGGCCUCCAAGGAGGCUUUCUCGAGCAUAGAUGAAGACAAAGACCAUGGCUGGAUGGGCCGAUUUGUCUGAGUGAAGACUCCGGACCUGAUCCCGGCCGAAAAUAUACCAUUUUUGGAGAUAUGGAAUAUGAGGCGUAAGUAUAACUCCCCUUUUAACUUCUACUUUAUUAGAUUCAUUUUUUCAUCCUUUCUUAUUGGCGUUUUAUUUGAUGCAGCCGUUGCUUGGAUGCCGAGUGCGAUUCCCCAGCUCGAGAACUAGGUCAGGAGCUUAGUGUCGAAAUUGACACACAG
rnacentral:lncRNA from 1 species